AACGACGCGUCGUUUAGCUCCCACAGUUUCACGCUAGUAACUUCUUCUCCAUGAUCGUCUCCUAUUAGACAGAUCAAAAUCAGCCGGUCGUCGGCGAAUCCGAUGGCGGAGCUGUAUACAUUUCUUUGAGGACGUAGACUGUAAGGUCCGUACCAUGACUUGGUUUCUGGAUUGAACCAGUAAGUUACUCCAGUACUUUUUUCUACAACGUACAUCUUGUUACUUCUCACAGCAACAGAGAGCCACAUAGAGGCUGCAGAAUCCUUGAAAUGCGCGGGUAAAGACUCGCACGUGUCCCACGUGCGAGUCUUUAGGUCGUACAUUUCUACGGCCAGAGGAUCAUCUUCAAAAUCACAAGCUCCGCCGGCGACAAUUACGCG
rnacentral:lncRNA from 1 species